rnacentral:rRNA from 1 species
CGGUCAAGUCGACGCACAGCGAAAGGUGCUUGCACCUUUCAAGUGAGUGGCGAACGGGUGAGUAACACGUGGACAACCUGCCUCAAGGCUGGGGAUAACAUUUGGAAACAGAUGCUAAUACCGAAUAAAACUUAGUGUCGCAUGACACAAAGUUAAAAGGCGCUUCGGCGUCACCUAGAGAUGGAUCCGCGGUGCAUUAGUUAGUUGGUGGGGUAAAGGCCUACCAAGACAAUGAUGCAUAGCCGAGUUGAGAGACUGAUCGGCCACAUUGGGACUGAGACACGGCCCAAACUCCUACGGGAGGCUGCAGUAGGGAAUCUUCCACAAUGGGCGAAAGCCUGAUGGAGCAACGCCGCGUGUGUGAUGAAGGCUUUCGGGUCGUAAAGCACUGUUGUAUGGGAAGAACAGCUAGAAUAGGAAAUGAUUUUAGUUUGACGGUACCAUACCAGAAAGGGACGGCUAAAUACGUGCCAGCAGCCGCGGUAAUACGUAUGUCCCGAGCGUUAUCCGGAUUUAUUGGGCGUAAAGCGAGCGCAGACGGUUUAUUAAGUCUGAUGUGAAAGCCCGGAGCUCAACUCCGGAAUGGCAUUGGAAACUGGUUAACUUGAGUGCAGUAGAGGUAAGUGGAACUCCAUGUGUAGCGGUGGAAUGCGUAGAUAUAUGGAAGAACACCAGUGGCGAACGCGGCUUACUGGACUGCAACUGACGUUGAGGCUCGAAAGUGUGGGUAGCAAACAGGAUUAGAUACCCUGGUAGUCCACACCGUAAACGAUGAACACUAGGUGUUAGGAGGUUUCCGCCUCUUAGUGCCGAAGCUAACGCAUUAAGUGUUCCGCCUGGGGAGUACGACCGCAAGGUUUGAAACUCAAAGGAAUUGACGGGGACCCGCACAAGCGGUGGAGCAUGUGGUUUAAUUCGAAGCAACGCGAAGAACCUUACCAGGUCUUGACAUCCUUUGAAGCUUUUAGAGAUAAAAAGUGUUCUCUUCGGAGAACAAGUGACAGGUGUGCAUGGUCGUCGUCAGCUCGUGUCGUGAGAUGUUGGGUUAAGUCCCGCAACGAGCGCAACCCUUAUUGUUAGUUGCCAGCAUUCAGAUGGGCACUCUAGCGAGACUGCCGGUGACAAACCGGAGGAAGGCGGGGACGACGUCAGAUCAUCAUGCCCCUUAUGACCUGGGCUACACACGUGCUACAAUGGCGUAUACAACG